rnacentral:lncRNA from 1 species
CCAGAUUCACACCCUCCCAAGUUCUGGCCAGGAGUCUUCUCUCCCAGUCCAAAUUGUCACAGAGUUCAGCCAGAGACUUCCUUCUCCUUGUGGUGUUUUCCCCCGCACCUCUGGCCACCCUCCAGAAGGAUCCCUGUGUUGCCAGGCAGGAAUGGCUUGCUUGGGGAACCAGCCAGCUCCCAAGUCCUUCCCCUUUGCUUCUUCUACCCCUGUAUUUCGCUCAGCUCUCUAAAUUGACUCAGGUCCAGGGGCUGAUCUGAAUGCACUACAACAGAGGAUUCACUAUCUCAUGGCUUCCUGUUAGUUUCAACCUAAGAGAUCCAAGAGUGGUCCUGAGACAAUGAGUGGCUGGUGCAAGAGUAUGAAAGCCCAACUCCCUCGCUCCAUCUUAGGACAAUUUCUGAGCUCCUGAUUUUCUGUGUUCCUGAUUUUCCCUGUGGGGUCAACUGAUAUUAUUCUGCACAGAGGAUUCAGUACAAAAAAACGUGUGGCUACCUUCUUCAAAAAGCAGGAACAAAGUGCUAUUAGAGAAAUAUAUUAUGACACAAAUCUUCAUACAGAUUAGAGACACAUGAAAUACCUGAAAAUUCUACUUCCACCUAAGGAAAAGAGGAGAACAAGGUUCUUAAUUCAGCACAAGUGCUCUCCAAAAUUCUUUCCUCAGAACUUCAGCCGUUCAGAGGGUGGAGAGUGGGAGGAGCCAGAAGAUCAGGAAAAAUAAUUAAUGAGUACUAGGCCUAAUACCUGGGUGAUGAAAUAAUCUGCACAACAAACCCCCAUGACACAAGUUUACCUAUGUAACGUACCUGUACUUGUACAUCUGAACUUAAAAUAAAAGUUUAAAAAAUACAUAAAAAUCAACAAUAAAAGAAAUUCUU